rfam:Porphyromonas sp. HMSC065F10 Porphyromonas_spHMPREF2890-1.0_Cont270.1, whole genome shotgun sequence.
GGGGAUGACAGGAUUUGACAGCAUGUAGAGUCGGCCUGUGUAAGCACGUAGUGUAGGUUAUCCGGCACUCUAACUCGGGUAGCAAACUUUUUAACUGGCGAAAAUAACUACGCUCUCGCAGCGUAAACCUUAGGGUUUACUGCUUUUUCGCUUGAGCAAUUGCUCGCGGCGAGACAUCACCCAAGGCCCGUGAUCCCGAGGUGGCUUGAUCAGGUGGUGCUGAAGUAUCGGGAAGGGUUGUCGGUGCGUCUCUCAUCGGCAACGACACUUAAGAGACUAAGCGUUGGAGUCGGUUGCUCUGUCCUUCCUCCCGCGUCGAAAAUCCGAUUAGAGCUAAACGUGUAGAAAGCAGUUUGGUUCCAUGUUUGGACGAGGGUUCGAAUCCCUCCAUCUCCACCA